GAUGAACGCUGGCGGCGUGCCUAAUACAUGCAAGUCGAGCGAAUAGACGAGGAGCUUGCUCCUCUGACGUUAGCGGCGGACGGGUGAGUAACACGUGGAUAACCUACCUAUAAGACUGGGAUAACUUCGGGAAACCGGAGCUAAUACCGGAUAAUAUAUUGAACCGCAUGGUUCAAUAGUGAAAGACGGUUUUGCUGUCACUUAUAGAUGGAUCCGCGCCGCAUUAGCUAGUUGGUAAGGUAACGGCUUACCAAGGCAACGAUGCGUAGCCGACCUGAGAGGGUGAUCGGCCACACUGGAACUGAGACACGGUCCAGACUCCUACGGGAGGCAGCAGUAGGGAAUCUUCCGCAAUGGGCGAAAGCCUGACGGAGCAACGCCGCGUGAGUGAUGAAGGUCUUCGGAUCGUAAAACUCUGUUAUUAGGGAAGAACAAAUGUGUAAGUAACUAUGCACGUCUGGACGGUACCUAUCAGAAAGCCACGGCUAACUACGUG
rnacentral:rRNA from 1 species